rnacentral:rRNA from 1 species
GACGGACGCUGGCGGCGUGCCUAAUACAUGCAAGUUGAGCGCUGAAGGUUGGUACUUGUACCAACUGGAUGAGCAGCGAACGGGUGAGUAACGCGUGGGGAAUCUGCCUUUGAGCGGGGGACAACAUUUGGAAACGAAUGCUAAUACCGCAUAAAAACUUUAAACACAAGUUUUAAGUUUGAAAGAUGCAAUUGCAUCACUCAAAGAUGAUCCCGCGUUGUAUUAGCUAGUUGGUGAGGUAAAGGCUCACCAAGGCGAUGAUACAUAGCCGACCUGAGAGGGUGAUCGGCCACAUUGGGACUGAGACACGGCCCAAACUCCUACGGGAGGCAGCAGUAGGGAAUCUUCGGCAAUGGACGAAAGUCUGACCGAGCAACGCCGCGUGAGUGAAGAAGGUUUUCGGAUCGUAAAACUCUGUUGGUAGAGAAGAACGUUGGUGAGAGUGGAAAGCUCAUCAAGUGACGGUAACUACCCAGAAAGGGACGGCUAACUACGUG